rnacentral:rRNA from 1 species
UACGUAGGGGGCAAGCGUUGUCCGGAUUUAUUGGGCGUAAAGAGCGUGUAGGCGGCCAGGUAGGUCCGUUGUGAAAACUCGAGGCUCAACCUCGAGACGUCGGCGGAAACCCUCUGGCUAGAGUCCGGAAGAGGAGAGUGGAAUUCCUGGUGUAGCGGUGAAAUGCGCAGAUAUCAGGAGGAACACCGAUGGCGAAGGCAGGUCUCUGGGCAUUAACUGACGCUGAGGAGCGAAAGCAUGGGGAGCGAACAGG